ensembl:lincRNA
AUGGAUCAGUCAGAAUUCUUUUCACGCCUUUGCCUUCCAUUAGCUCCAUUUUCUAAAUCAGUUCCAGGAUGCUGCCCUUCCCUCCAUGGUGGGACCUCCUCAUAUUGCCAGCGUUUUUAUUACUUUCCUAAAACCUCAGACCAUUCCACUCCUCAGGGAUGCUCUUUUAUUAAAGUUGAGAAGGACCCUCACAGAAAGAGAUUGCAACAAAUCUUCGUGUUUGCCUCUGACCCCAGCAAGGAGGGUCUCAGGCCCGCUUGCCACAAGAGAGUUUUGAGAGCAAAGGAAAUUCCCAGGCAUCCUUUGGGAGUUCAUGCUCUGGGUCGCCUGGUCUCUGAGACUGCAUUCAACAGAUUGGCAGCAAAAAGAGAAACUGUGUCCAUCGCCAGACUUCUUCUGGCACAGAUGACCCAGGGAGUGCCUGGGCAUCUGGUUAAUCACUUCCCUCCUUUUCCUCCUGCUUUUGGAAAAGAGACAAGAAAGAGGACUAUAAAGGAAGAAUCAGGAAAUUGGACCUUCCCUCCAGAUACCCUCAGAAGUCUCUUGACAAGUAGGAGCAUUAAAACUAUUUGUACCUUCUACAGCAGGAAUUUCAUUUUAAGGAAUCAUUUCUAAAGAAACAAUACAAAAUAAAGGAAAUGAUUUAUGCCCAGAUUUGUUUAUUAAUGAACUAUUUUGAAUAGGGGAAAAAUCUGGAAUCCACACAAAUAUCUAACAAUAGGAAAAUGAUUAGGUGAAUUACAAUACAUCAAUUUAAAACUACAAUACAGUCAUUUAACAUGUUUUGAAGAGAUUAUAAAAGAUGGGAAAAAAUUCUUCAGUUAACUAAAUAAAAAUUAGGGUUUAAAUUUUAUAUUUAGAAUGACCAGCACUACAAAAAGAAAAAAAGGUAAACUAAACUAAGUAAUAACUGAAAACUGGAAUGGUGUACUCUCAAAUCUUCUUAACUGUGGUUUUCUCCUUUGGGUGGUGGAACUAUUGAUGGUUUUCAGUUCUGCUUUCCCAUGUAUUUUCCAAAUUGCAUUCAAUAAACAUACUUAAAAAUGGAUAUUAUAUAUGGAGUAUUCCUGAAUAUUUAUCUUGUGCCAGGCCCUAUGCUAAGUACUUUUAUAGAUUAAUUUAUUUAAAUCUCCCAGCAAGCCUAUGAGGUGGGUACUUUUAGUGUCUCCAGUUUACAAACUGAGGCUCAGAGAGCUUAAGUAACUUGCCCAGAAUCACACAGCUGAUAGCCAGGAGGUAGAGCUCGGCCUGUUUGACUUCAGAACCAAAGCCCACAGUGUACCCCACCCUCCCCAAUAAGAGAAGAAAAUAAAUAAAUAAAUAUAUUUAAUAUAUAUGAAAUAAGCUUCUUUUAAGCAGCAGAUCCAGGUUUCAAGGCUGGUUCAGGCUUACCUCUCUCGUGAGAAUUUCUGUACCUGUCCCAUGUCCGUAACUCUGGGACUGAUGUCCACUCGCUUCUUUGGCUCUUACACAGCUGCCUAUCUUUUCUCCUUCUCUUUCUCUUUCCUUCUUUUCAUCCUUUCCUUCCUUCUGCAUCCUAGAUGUCGGCUGCAAUCUCUCUGCACCGUAAGAUAAAAUGAGCCAGAUGCUCCCAAAUUCAUGUCCUAAGAGAAGUUUAAAAGCCUUACCCAAGAUUUCUGCAAAUUCCCUGGGAGCUUUCUUUCUUAAGAUUACUUUCUUAAGGCGGUUUCUGCCUCCAGCUCCUGACUCCACUGAACUAGUUCAUUCAGGAAAUGGUCUCACCUUUCCGUCCCUGACCCAGAUGGAAACUCAGCUCCUUCCUUGGUUUCUACAGAAAACCUGCUCUACCAGGUGAUCUGAACAUGGGUAGAGUUUAUGAAAAGUAUUGGAGAGCUUUCCACAGCUGAACUCAAGCAACUUCAAUAGUAAUAGUUAACAUUCCUGUGAAAACAGAACAGGACACAACACUCUGCUCAUAGGCCCUGGAAAUGUAUUAUUUAUUGGCUGCUAUGCUCUGUGAGUAUCCUACUGGAUCCUGUCUCCCCUCACCCCCUUGCCACUUCCAUUUGCUUUCCUGCCCUGCCCUCACCUCACCCCCAACCCCAAACCCUUCCCUCCAGUGUGUAUAGUACAUUCAAGCCCCAACCUCCAAACUCAACUCCUGACCCUUCCAGGUGCCCAGCUGAACAAAAUGACCUGUAAUCAAAGUUGAAUCCACUUUUCUUACAAGGCAGUUGUAUUGCUGCUGCUGCUGCUGCUAAGUCGCUUCAGUCGUGUCCGACUCAGUGAGACCCCAUAGACAGAAGCCCACCAGGCUCCCCUGUCCCUGGGAUUCUGGAUUGGGUUGCCAUUUCCUUCUCCAAUGCAUGAAAGUGAAAAGUGAAAGUGAAGUCGCUCAGUCAUGUCCAACUCUUAGCAACCCCAUGGACUGCAGCACACCAGGCUCCUCCAUCCAUGGGAUUUUCCAGGCAGGAGUACUAGAGUGGAGUGCCAUUGCUUUCUCCGCAAGAGUAAUGGGAGAAGUAUAAAAAGUUUGCUAUCCACUAAUACAAUUGCCUCAGAGAAGGCAAUGGCAACCCACUCCAGUACUCUUGCCUGGAAAAUCGCAUGGAUGGAGGAGCCUGGUGUGCUGCAGUCCAUGGGGUUGCUAAGAGUUGGACAUGACUGAGCGACUUCACUUUCACUUUUCACUUUCAUGCAUUGGAGAAGGAAAUGGCAACCCACUCCAGUGUUCUUGCCUGGAGAAUCCCAGGGACAGGGGAGCCUGGUGGGCUGCCGUCUAUGGGGUCGCACAGAGUCGGACACGACUGAAGUGACUUAGCAGCAGCAGCAUUACUCUUGACUAUGUAAACAGAAUUGAGACCAUGCUUUGUGCCAGAUGCUGGAGAUAUAAAAAACUGGAAAAAUGCACAAGUGACAAUUCUUAAGAGAUUAGUUAUUAAGUUCCUUAGGCUUCACAGCUUACUGAACAAGUAAUCCCCAUACUCAGCUUCCCUGGUGGCUCACUGGUAAAGAAUCUGCUUGCAAAGUAGGAGACGCAGGUUCUAUCCCUGGAUCAGGAAGAUCCCAUGGAGAACGACAUGACAACCCACUCCAGUAUUCUUGACUGGGAAAUUCCAUGGACAGGGAGCCUGGCGGGGUACAUACAGUGCAUGGGAUCACAAGAGUUGGACAUGACUUAGCAAUGAAGCCAUUACCACCACCAAUCCCCAUACCAGGGGGAUUAUAACAAAUAUAAUAAUAAUCCUAAUAACAAAGGUGCUAAUAACAAACAAUGAGGCAAAGUGUCCU